UGCCAGCCGCCGCGGGAAUACGCAGGUUGCAAGCGUUGUUCGGAAUUACUGGGCGUAAAGGGGGCGCAGGCGGUUCGAUUAGUCUGGAGUGAAAGCCCGGGGCUCAACCCCGGAAGGCCUUUGGAUACUGUCGAACUAGAGUACGGGAGAGGAGAGCGGAAUUCCUGGUGUAGCGGUGAAAUGCGUAGAUAUCAGGAGGAACACCUAUGGCGAAAGCAGCUCUCUGGCCCGAUACUGACGCUGAGGCCGGAAAGCGUGGGGAGCGAACAGGAUUAGAUA
rnacentral:rRNA from 1 species